rnacentral:misc_RNA from 1 species
GGCCUAGCUGAGAAGCCGAAUUACACAAUAAGAAAAUAAACCCCCCUUUGUUCUCUAACUAAUUCCUUUAUAUAGCUGCUGGCCUCCCGCACAUUCUAGCUGAUAUUCCUGCUCACUUGGUCCAUGUCAGCAAACCUUCUGGAAUCUCCCGUAGCCUUGGGCCUCCUUGAGUACACCUUCAACUCUUUCGGCCCUUUAUCUUUCCAGCCCAAUUUCUUAAUCUGAUCCAUAACAAUUUUUCUAUCUCUUCUAUAGUUUUCACGUAAAGAGAACUUUUGCUCUAUUUACCUCAUCUCAUAGGGAUGUGUGAGGAGGAUUCUUUUUUUGCCCUUAAUAAUCAUCUGUUGAUCUCCCCCAAAUCUAAUCAACACAAAUAAUUCUUUUCACUAUCAAUUUCUCAAACACCAUACCCAGAACCCAGAAUUGGAAAACAACAUUAACAAAAUAGGCGUCUUUUUCCUUUAUGUUG